GACGAACGCUGGCGGCGUGCUUAACACAUGCAAGUCGAACGGAAAGUCCCUGCUUUUGUGGGGUGCUCGAGUGGCGAACGGGUGAGUAACACGUGAGUACCCUGCCCCUGACUGUGGGAUAACUUCAUGACACUUGGUCUCAUACCGGAUAAGAUCUCCUGCUGCUUGGUGGGGGUUGGUAAGUUUCGGCGGUUGGGGAUGGACUCGCGGCUCAUCAGCUUGUUGGUGGGGUAGUGGCUUACCAAGGCUUUGACGGGUAGCCGGCCUGAGAGGGUGAGCGGCCACAUUGCGACUGAGAUGCGGCCCAGACUACUACGGGAGGCAGCAGUGGAGAAUAUUGCACAAUGGGAGGGACCCUGGUGCAGCAACGCCGCGUGCGGGAUGACGGCAUUCGGGUUGUAAUCCGCAUUCGCCUGUGACGAGGCGUGAGUGACGGUAAUGGGUAAAGAAGCACCGGCUAACUACGUG
rnacentral:rRNA from 1 species